rnacentral:lncRNA from 1 species
UAUCUAAAAAAGAAAUUCAAUGUGCGAAGCUUGAAUUUUAUCCAUUUCUUUAGAGCUCUGUUUUUUCCAUCUGGGGACUUCUGCCAAGCAAUGGGAAAUGUUGAAUUGGAAAUGUAAUUCUGGACACCAUACAUCUAUAAAGUAAAUUUAAAAUGACCAGAAUCGUUUAGUAUUCUGUAAGUCAAAACUUCUUAAACUGUGGUUUGCAACCCCAUAUGGUGUCACAUAACUGAAUGUGGGGGUCUUGAAAUCAGUAAAUGUUUGAUUUGUAUACCUAUUUUAUAUAUCUAUAUACUCAGGGCCAUGUAAAAAUUUCUUGGGCAAAAGGGAGUUGCUAGUGGAAAAAAUUUAAGAAACCUUGAUUUAAUUGAUCGUAGUUAUAAAAUUUUACCUUAUAGUAUGAUAUCUAAGUGUGGUUAAAAAAUAGAAUGCACCAUUAUGGAAAGAUAGAUAUCUUUUUAUCUUCAACAUCCAUAUUUAUUAUUACCAGAAUUAAUGUUUUCCUACAAUUUCAUCUUUUCUUCAGAUCUGCCAGUUUAAAAAAAAUUGUUGACUUCCUGAACUAGAAAUUAUCCCCCAUGGCAAAGCCAGAAUGAAGGUAAGGAUGGUUGGAUAGUGUGGGGACCUACUGGAGUUCUCAUGUGACAAUAGGACCAGAAAGGGGGUCUCAUGAAGUACUGACAUGUAUUGAGAUUAUGUAUCAAUAUGCUGGUGCCAUUGUCAGAAAGUUAGCUCCAUCUUCUUCCCCACUCCUUACCUUCUAAAUGUAGGAGUGUUGCUGAUUUUAUACCUUGGGUCCACAGGGCUCCAUUUGCAAAAUCUUCAAAAAUCUCUAACUGUAUUCAGAAUGAACUUAGUGAGUUUGUAGGAUCAUAGAAUCUAGAACUAGGAGGGAUCUUUGAGAUCAUCUAGUCCACCAUCCAUCUUUUUUUACAGAUGGGGAAACUUAGGUGCAGAGAAGUGAAAUGAGCUAUGAACUAGAACUAGAAUUGGAUCCAGAUCUUUCGACUUGCUGCCUGUGGUCCUACCUUGGUUCCUCCCACUGUUGUUUCCUGUCUCUUGGAAACUUUCAUUUCUUUCCUGGAAUGGAGUCAUCUUUUGCACAAGCUUCUUCAGUACAGAAAGGUGAGCAGGUGCUUCUGGUUCUCUCAAGAAGAAAAUAACAUUCCUAUCUAAUGUGGCUUGCACCUGCUUUAAAAGCUCAACACCCGGGACCAGGAGGAAGACAUGGUAAACUCCUUGCUUUCUUCCCAUCUCCUUGGUACUUCCUCUGCCACCAUCACUUUGCAUUCUCUCCUCCCUUGAGGUUUGUUCCAACCUUCGAUAUUAUCUUGUUAAUCAUUAUAUAAUCAUCA